rnacentral:rRNA from 1 species
CGAACGGGUGAGUAACGCGUGAGGAACCUGCCUCAAAGAGGGGGACAACAGUUGGAGACGACUGUUAAUACCGCAUAAGCCCACGGGUCGGCAUCGACCUGAGGGAAAAGGAGCAAUCCGCUUUGAGAUGGCCUCGCGUCCGAUUAGCUAGUUGGUGAGGUAAUGGCCCACCAAGGCGACGAUUGGUAGCCGGACUGAGAGGUUGAACGGCCACAUUGGGACUGAGACACGGCCCAG